UCCCCCUUUCCUUUCUGUGCUGCACAUAUCCAGAGAACAGACCAGAGUUGGGAAUGGGUCUGGAGCACAAAUCUGAUGAGGAGCAGCUGAGGGAGCUGUGGGAGCUCAGCCUGGAGAAAAGGAGGCUCAGAGGGGACCUUCUGGCCCUCCAAAAUUCUCUGACGGGAGAGAUCAGCCAGGUGGAGGCACACAUUUCCUUAUAUCCUGCUUCAUUAUGAGCACGCCCACUGCCCCAGCGUCUGCUUAGUGGAGGAUGACUGAUCUUAGAAGAGGUCACUUGUGUGAUGGGAUCUUCCUGGAUGAGUCACCAAAAACCCCAAGCUCAACAGGCCCAGUGAUACUUCAGCAUCCUGGAAAACACAGCAGAGG